CCUACGGGAGGCAACAGUGGGGAAUAUUGGACAAUGGGGGCAACCCUGAUCCAGCCAUGCCGCGUGUGUGAAGAAGGCCCUCGGGUUGUAAAGCACUUUCAGUGAGGAAGAACGCCUGGUGGUUAAUACCCAUCAGGAAAGACAUCACUCACAGAAGAAGCACCGGCUAACUCCGUGCCAGCAGCCGCGGUAAUACGGAGGGUGCGAGCGUUAAUCGGAAUUACUGGGCGUAAAGCGCGCGUAGGUGGCUUGAUAAGCCGGUUGUGAAAGCCCCGGGCUCAACCUGGGAACGGCAUCCGGAACUGUCAAGCUAGAGUGCAGGAGAGGAAGGUAGAAUUCCCGGUGUAGCGGUGAAAUGCGUAGAGAUCGGGAGGAAUACCAGUGGCGAAGGCGGCCUUCUGGACUGACACUGACACUGAGGUGCGAAAGCGUGGGUAGCAAACAGGAUUAGAUACCCCGGUAGUC
rnacentral:rRNA from 1 species